UAUACUUUGUGUAGUUUUAAGAAGAAUUGUGUCUUUCAAGGGAGUAAGAGAAGGAUGUUUCUGUGGUUAGGGCAGUACAUGUCUGUGAGCUACAUGCAAAGGGUCCUGCUGCUGCUGUGCCCAGGGUAGACCCCUCCUUUCCACAGGGAUGCUUCUGUUUGCGGGGACGGUCGGUGCAGCUGCAAGGCUGGAGGCGGCCGGCAGGUGCCCGGUGCUGGCUGCAGAUGCGGCGCUAACCCUCUCUCCCCACUUGAAGGCAUGCGGCUACCAAGGGCAUCCUUGUGGCUAUGGUCUGUACUUUCUUCGACGCUUUCAACGUCCCGGUGUUCUGGCCGAUUCUGGUGAUGUACUUCAUCAUGCUCUUCUGUAUCACGAUGAAGAGGCAAAUCAAGCACAUGAUUAAGUACCGGUACAUCCCGUUCACACAUGGGAAGAGGAGGUACAGAGGCAAGGAGGAUGCCAGCAAGGCCUUCGCCAGCUAGAAGCGGGACUGAGGCCGCCUCACGUGUUGCAAGAACAGUUUUCAGCCAUUGUUAACAAUGCCUUUUUUCUUCACAUAAAGUAGUUGAUUACGAGGGAGUCAAA
rnacentral:sRNA from 1 species